UACGUAGGGUCCGAGCGUUGUCCGGAGUUACUGGGCGUAAAGGGCGCGCAGGUGGCGGUGUUGGCCCGGCGUGAAAGCCCCCGGCUCAACCGGGGAGGGUCGUCGGGGACCGCACCGCUUGAGGGCGGUAGGGGCUGGUGGAAUGCCUGGUGUAGUGGUGAAAUGCGUAGAGAUCAGGCGGAACACCCGUAGCGAAGGCGGCCAGCUGGGCCGUCCCUGACACUGAGGCGCGAAGGCGUGGGGAGCGAACGGGG
rnacentral:rRNA from 1 species